rnacentral:rRNA from 1 species
CUAUGCGCCUUGCCAGCCCGCCUCAGAAACUCAAAGGAAUUGACGGGGGCCCGCACCAAGCGGAGGAGCAUGUGGUUUAAUUCGAUGAUACGCGAGGAACCUUACCUGGGCUCGAACGUAAGAUGACUGUAGGUGAAAGCUUACAUCUCUUCGGAGCAUUUUACGAGGUGCUGCAUGGUUGUCGUCAGCUCGUGCCGUGAGGUGUCGGGUUAAGUCCCAUAACGAGCGCAACCCCUACCUUUAGUUGCCAUCAGGUUAAGCUGGGGACUCUAAAGGAACUGCCUACGCAAGUAGUGAGGAAGGCGGGGAUGACGUCAAAUCAGCACGGCCCUUACGGCCUGGGCUACACACGUGCUACAAUGGUCGGUACAAAGGGUUGCCAAGCCGCGAGGUGGAGCUAAUCCCAUAAAACCGAUCGUAGUCCGGAUCGCAGUCUGCAACUCGACUGCGUGAAGUCGGAAUCGCUAGUAAUCGUGAAUCAGAAUGUCACGGUGAAUACGUUCCCGGGCCUU